CCCCGCAGUGCGGAAUACCGGCGAGAAAUCGCCGACAAGACCGCAUGGGCUACCUCUCAUUAUGGGGAGGCAGCAAAGGUUUUCGCAAGAGAGCCGCUCUGGGAUGAGCCUGCGGCUGAUUAGCUGGCUGGGGGGGGUAACGGCCUCCCAGGGCGACGAUCAGUAGCUGGUCUGAGAGGACGAGCAGCCACACUGGGAUUGAGAACGGCCCAG
rnacentral:rRNA from 1 species